rnacentral:rRNA from 1 species
UUAAGCGACUAAGCGUACACGGUGGAUGCCCUGGCAGUCAGAGGCGAUGAAGGACGUGCUAAUCUGCGAUAAGCGUCGGUAAGGUGAUAUGAACCGUUAUAACCGGCGAUUUCCGAAUGGGGAAACCCAGUGUGAUUCGUCACACUAUCAUUAACUGAAUCCAUAGGUUAAUGAGGCGAACCGGGGGAACUGAAACAUCUAAGUACCCCGAGGAAAAGAAAUCAACCGAGAUUCCCCCAGUAGCGGCGAGCGAACGGGGAGNAGCCCAGAGCCUGAAUCAGUGUGUGUGUUAGUGGAAGCGUCUGGAAAGGCGCGCGAUACAGGGUGACAGCCCCGUACACAAAAAUACACAUAUUGUGAGCUCGAUGAGUAGGGCGGGACACGUGGUAUCCUGUCUGAAUAUGGGGGGACCAUCCUCCAAGGCUAAAUACUCCUGACUGACCGAUAGUGAACCAGUACCGUGAGGGAAAGGCGAAAAGAACCCCGGCGAGGGGAGUGAAAAAGAACCUGAAACCGUGUACGUACAAGCAGUGGGAGCACGCUUAGGCGUGUGACUGCGUACCUUUUGUAUAAUGGGUCAGCGACUUAUAUUCUGUAGCAAGGUUAACCGAAUAGGGGAGCCGAAGGGAAACCGAGUCUUAACUGGGCGUUAAGUUGCAGGGUAUAGACCCGAAACCCGGUGAUCUAGCCAUGGGCAGGUUGAAGGUUGGGUAACACUAACUGGAGGACCGAACCGACUAAUGUUGAAAAAUUAGCGGAUGACUUGUGGCUGGGGGUGAAAGGCCAAUCAAACCGGGAGAUAGCUGGUUCUCCCCGAAAGCUAUUUAGGUAGCGCCUCGUGAAUUCAUCUCCGGGGGUAGAGCACUGUUUCGGCAAGGGGGUCAUCCCGACUUACCAACCCGAUGCAAACUGCGAAUACCGGAGAAUGUUAUCACGGGAGACACACGGCGGGUGCUAACGUCCGUCGUGAAGAGGGAAACAACCCAGACCGCCAGCUAAGGUCCCAAAGUCAUGGUUAAGUGGGAAACGAUGUGGGAAGGCCCAGACAGCCAGGAUGUUGGCUUAGAAGCAGCCAUCAUUUAAAGAAAGCGUAAUAGCUCACUGGUCGAGUCGGCCUGCGCGGAAGAUGUAACGGGGCUAAACCAUGCACCGAAGCUGCGGCAGCGACGCUUAUGCGUUGUUGGGUAGGGGAGCGUUCUGUAAGCCUGCGAAGGUGUGCUGUGAGGCAUGCUGGAGGUAUCAGAAGUGCGAAUGCUGACAUAAGUAACGAUAAAGCGGGUGAAAAGCCCGCUCGCCGGAAGACCAAGGGUUCCUGUCCAACGUUAAUCGGGGCAGGGUGAGUCGACCCCUAAGGCGAGGCCGAAAGGCGUAGUCGAUGGGAAACAGGUUAAUAUUCCUGUACUUGGUGUUACUGCGAAGGGGGGACGGAGAAGGCUAUGUUGGCCGGGCGACGGUUGUCCCGGUUUAAGCGUGUAGGCUGGUUUUCCAGGCAAAUCCGGAAAAUCAAGGCUGAGGCGUGAUGACGAGGCACUACGGUGCUGAAGCAACAAAUGCCCUGCUUCCAGGAAAAGCCUCUAAGCAUCAGGUAACAUCAAAUCGUACCCCAAACCGACACAGGUGGUCAGGUAGAGAAUACCAAGGCGCUUGAGAGAACUCGGGUGAAGGAACUAGGCAAAAUGGUGCCGUAACUUCGGGAGAAGGCACGCUGAUAUGUAGGUGAAGUCCCUUGCGGAUGGAGCUGAAAUCAGUCGAAGAUACCAGCUGGCUGCAACUGUUUAUUAAAAACACAGCACUGUGCAAACACGAAAGUGGACGUAUACGGUGUGACGCCUGCCCGGUGCCGGAAGGUUAAUUGAUGGGGUCAGCGCAAGCGAAGCUCUUGAUCGAAGCCCCGGUAAACGGCGGCCGUAACUAUAACGGUCCUAAGGUAGCGAAAUUCCUUGUCGGGUAAGUUCCGACCUGCACGAAUGGCGUAAUGAUGGCCAGGCUGUCUCCACCCGAGACUCAGUGAAAUUGAACUCGCUGUGAAGAUGCAGUGUACCCGCGGCAAGACGGAAAGACCCCGUGAACCUUUACUAUAGCUUGACACUGAACAUUGAGCCUUGAUGUGUAGGAUAGGUGGGAGGCUUUGAAGUGUGGACGCCAGUCUGCAUGGAGCCGGCCUUGAAAUACCACCCUUUAAUGUUUGAUGUUCUAACGUGGACCCGUGAUCCGGGUUGCGGACAGUGUCUGGUGGGUAGUUUGACUGGGGCGGUCUCCUCCUAAAGAGUAACGGAGGAGCACGAAGGUUGGCUAAUCCUGGUCGGACAUCAGGAGGUUAGUGCAAUGGCAUAAGCCAGCUUGACUGCGAGCGUGACGGCGCGAGCAGGUGCGAAAGCAGGUCAUAGUGAUCCGGUGGUUCUGAAUGGAAGGGCCAUCGCUCAACGGAUAAAAGGUACUCCGGGGAUAACAGGCUGAUACCGCCCAAGAGUUCAUAUCGACGGCGGUGUUUGGCACCUCGAUGUCGGCUCAUCACAUCCUGGGGCUGAAGUAGGUCCCAAGGGUAUGGCUGUUCGCCAUUUAAAGUGGUACGCGAGCUGGGUUUAGAACGUCGUGAGACAGUUCGGUCCCUAUCUGCCGUGGGCGCUGGAGAACUGAGGGGGGCUGCUCCUAGUACGAGAGGACCGGAGUGGACGCAUCACUGGUGUUCGGGUUGUCAUGCCAAUGGCACUGCCCGGUAGCUAAAUGCGGAAGAGAUAAGUGCUGAAAGCAUCUAAGCACGAAACUUGCCCCGAGAUGAGUUCUCCCUGACCCUUUAAGGGUCCUGAAGGAACGUUGAAGACGACGACGUUGAUAGGCCGGGUGUGUAAGCGCAGCGAUGCGUUGAGCUAACCGGUACUAAUGAACCGUGAGGCUUAACCUU